rnacentral:rRNA from 2 species
GAGUAAUGUCUGGGAAACUGCCUGAUGGAGGGGGAUAACUACUGGAAACGGUGGCUAAUACCGCAUAACGUCGCAAGACCAAAGAGGGGGACCUUCGGGCCUCUUGCCAUCAGAUGUGCCCAGAUGGGAUUAGCUAGUUGGUGAGGUAACGGCUCACCAAGGCGACGAUCCCUAGCUGGUCUGAGAGGAUGACCAGCCACACUGGAACUGAGACACGGUCCAGACUCCUACGGGAGGCAGCAGUGGGGAAUAUUGCACAAUGGGCGCAAGCCUGAUGCAGCCAUGCCGCGUGUAUGAAGAAGGCCUUCGGGUUGUAAAGUACUUUCAGCGGGGAGGAAGGUGUUGUGGUUAAUAACCGCAGCAAUUGACGUUACCCGCAGAAGAAGCACCGGCUAACUCCGUGCCAGCAGCCGCGGUAAUACGGAGGGUGCAAGCGUUAAUCGGAAUUACUGGGCGUAAAGCGCACGCAGGCGGUCUGUCAAGUCGGAUGUGAAAUCCCCGGGCUCAACCUGGGAACUGCAUUCGAAACUGGCAGGCUUGAGUCUUGUAGAGGGGGGUAGAAUUCCAGGUGUAGCGGUGAAAUGCGUAGAGAUCUGGAGGAAUACCGGUGGCGAAGGCGGCCCCCUGGACAAAGACUGACGCUCAGGUGCGAAAGCGUGGGGAGCAAACAGGAUUAGAUACCCUGGUAGUCCACGCCGUAAACGAUGUCUACUUGGAGGUUGUGCCCUUGAGGCGUGGCUUCCGGAGCUAACGCGUUAAGUAGACCGCCUGGGGAGUACGGCCGCAAGGUUAAAACUCAAAUGAAUUGACGGGGGCCCGCACAAGCGGUGGAGCAUGUGGUUUAAUUCGAUGCAACGCGAAGAACCUUACCUGGUCUUGACAUCCACAGAAGAAUCCAGAGAUGGAUUUGUGCCUUCGGGAACUGUGAGACAGGUGCUGCAUGGCUGUCGUCAGCUCGUGUUGUGAAAUGUUGGGUUAAGUCCCGCAACGAGCGCAACCCUUAUCCUUUGUUGCCAGCGGUCCGGCCGGGAACUCAAAGGAGACUGCCAGUGAUAAACUGGAGGAAGGUGGGGAUGACGUCAAGUCAUCAUGGCCCUUACGACCAGGGCUACACACGUGCUACAAUGGCGCAUACAAAGAGAAGCGACCUCGCGAGAGCAAGCGGACCUCAUAAAGUGCGUCGUAGUCCGGAUUGGAGUCUGCAACUCGACUCCAUGAAGUCGGAAUCGCUAGUAAUCGUGGAUCAGAAUGCCACGGUGAAUACGUUCCCGGGCCUUGUACACACCGCCCGUCACACCAUGGGAGUGGGUUGCAAAAGAAGUAGGUAGCUUAACCUUCGGGAGGGCGCUUACCACUUUGUGAUUCAUGACUGGGGUGAAGUCGUAACAAGGUAACCGUAGGGGAACCUGCGGUUGGAUCACCUCCUUA